UUACGGUCACAUCACGUUGAAACACUAGUUCUCUUACGAUCAUCGCAGUUAAGCAACGUCGAGCCUGGUCAUUACCUAGAUCGGUGGCCAUUUGGGAAUAAGAGGA